UUGAAGGACUCUCAUUCUCUGCCGGCAGCUCUUCCUUCAUGGGAGGAUUCUGCGUCACUUCGGAACGGGAAGCAUUCGUUUUCUUCGUCCAAGGAGGUGCCUGCACGAAUUUCUGGACGAGCAGGUCGCGCACGCAGGACGGCGUUAUCCUGAACAACGCGUGAUACAGGAAGUAUCGCCAUGAUUCAUGUCUGGAUCAAUAAUUAAACAGCUCCGUUAGUCUGAGAUAAUUAAUCUCUAAUUGCAUGAAUUGCUCGAGAUAUCUGGAACUAGGCGACCGAUUCAAUUUAUUGAAGUGGCCAGGUGUUCUCGUGCAGGUGUCAGUUAUCCGAAUGGAAAAUAAAACUACGUGAACUGUAGAUAGCACAGAUAACUGUCAUUGGCCGUUGGUUCGAAAUACGAUGAGCACUGUCAACGAAAGUUUCACGUUCGUGUUCGAACAGUUCAGACGUGGUGCUAGAGAGAUCGGUCGAAUCGAUCGGUAUAUAUAUAUGCUCGAAACAAUUCGAAAGUCCAUUAAGAUUUGCCAAAUAUGUUUAACAUUUUAUUAACGUAGAUUUCGAAAUUAAUAUCUUAUUAAAAAGAAUUUACUAGCAGAUUGCACAUUCGAGAAGAAAACGCAUUAAAGCUAUCAUCUCAUUCUUCAAGAUCUUCGAGUCGUUGUAAGAAUACGAUCUUCGAAUUGUUUCGAGAAAUCCUGCGAUUCUUGCGAAGGGCUGCAAUUUCAAAGCUGACGCACUUAUAAAGCGCUGACGGAUAUUUGUCAAGCAGUGCGCCUUCAAAGAUCUCGUAGAUCCUCGGGUCUGGCAGCUUUUCCAGGUUUCCACCGUGCGCUACGGAUCCGAAAUAUUGCGAGUAGCUGGUGAAGUAAUCACCGUAGAAAGUCCUCGCUUCCUCUGUCAUCGACUUCCUCAUCGUCUCGAAGUAUUCAGUCUGCCGGGCCAAUAUGUUGCUCUCCCUGAAGAAAGACCCUGUGAGAAGACCAGGGAUAAAGCAGACGACCUUGACGCCAUACUUCUUUAGCUCGAGCCUCAUGGCGGUGGCCCAGGCUCCAAUCGCAGCCUUGGUCCCGCUGUAAGCUGCCACCCCAGGGAUCGGCUGGAUGUUACAGUGGCUCGAGAUUACAACAAUCCGGCUGGAGUGCGCUCGGAUCAUCGGCAUCAGUUCUCGAGUGAUUCUCAUCGUGCCAAGGAAAUUGACUUCCACUUGACUCCUGAUCUGCUCCUCUGUUUGCCAUUCGAAUUCACCGAAGAUCAUCAAGGCGGCGUUAUUGAUCAAGCAUCGCAGCUCUGUAAAUAGAUCAUUCUAAUAUUCGUUAACCUACGGAGCUCUAAUCCGUAAUCAAUCGCGUUAUCGGAAACCGGAUAAGCUCCAAUCAGAGCCCAGCAAAUCAAAUUGUUACCCGGAUAUAUUGAUCGAUAAUUGUCCGACUACUUUUCUUAGUUUACAGCGUAGAUUUUUCCCUCGUUUCAGCUUUUCUGAAAUAAUGCAUGAAAAUGGAAGAUGUCGUAUAAGUUCUGCAGUCUAAUUAUUGUUCGUUGAAAUUAAAUGCGAUCGGCUCUGACAUUUCCAAUUCUCGUUGUUAUUAAUACUUUUAUUAGCUGCUCGAAUACCCAACAACCUCGGCUUGCUGAAUAUUAAAAAUCUCCAUUUGUUUACGCGUUCAUACUGAAACUGUAAUCAUUACUUUGCAUUAAUUCCAGAGAGCGGCGUGAUGAAAGCGUAACUCACUACCCGAGGCUGCUGUAUAAACAUGAUAUAGAACCUUGUACGCGUUAUACAACAUGCAAAAUUCGUAUGGUGGUGUAAUGAACGGAACUCGGCUAGAUUAUUAUCAUGAAACCGUAAUAUACACAAUUACUUCGCGUAUAAUUAAUCCGAAUGAUAUUUUGAGAUCAACACAACGAUAUUGUGCAUCAUGCACAUAAAAUUCGAUGCUUCUCUGUAAACUUAGCUUCGUUAUCGCAGUAACAAAUGCGCAACACAUAAAUUUGAUUUCAGUGAA